CCUACGGGGGGCAGCAGUGGGGAAUAUUGGACAAUGGGGGCAACCCUGAUCCAGCCAUGCCGCGUGUGUGAAAAAGGCCCUCGGGUUGUAAAGCACUUUCAGUGAGGAAGAACGCCUGGUGGUUAAUACCCAUCAGGAAAGACAUCACUCACAGAAGAAGCACCGGCUAACUCCGUGCCAGCAGCCGCGGUAAUACGGAGGGUGCGAGCGUUAAUCGGAAUUACUGGGCGUAAAGCGCGCGUAGGUGGCUUGAUAAGCCGGUUGUGAAAGCCCCGGGCUCAACCUGGGAACGGCAUCCGGAACUGUCAAGCUAGAGUGCAGGAGAGGAAGGUAGAAUUCCCGGUGUAGCGGUGAAAUGCGUAGAGAUCGGGAGGAAUACCAGUGGCGAAGGCGGCCUUCUGGACUGACACUGACACUGAGGUGCGAAAGCGUGGGUAGCAAACAGGAUUAGAUACCCCAGUAGUC
rnacentral:rRNA from 1 species